rnacentral:lncRNA from 1 species
CUUUCCCCUGUUAGAAGCCGUGGGCAUCGCGCCCCGCCUCGCCCCACAGCCACUCCGCACAAACCUCAGCCCUGCCCCUCGAUCGCCUGGUUUUACCCCUAACUGCCGUUUCACCAGGUGCUUACCGUGUGCCAAGCGCUGGGCUUUCUGUGUGGUCAUACUCAAUCCUAACAAGCUGAGGAAAAAUGGAAGAGCAAGAGGACGGGAGAGAAGAACGGACGCCGAUAGACGAAAUGGCAGUAUAUAGAGGAAGGGUUGAAUACUGACACUGCCACUUGUGAGCCGUGUGACCCCGACGACUUUCUUAACUUCUCCAUCCUCGUUCGCUCAUUCAUUCCCCGAGCAUUGACUGAGCCAUCCAAUGGGCCAGGUCACCACCUCAGAAAGGCCUUCCCAGACCACCUAUUUAAGG